AUUGAACGCUGGCGGCAGGCCUAACACAUGCAAGUCGAACGAGUGGCGGACGGGUGAGUAAUGUCUGGGAAACUGCCCGAUGGAGGGGGAUAACUACUGGAAACGGUAGCUAAUACCGCAUACCAUCGGAUGUGCCCAGAUGGGCUUAGCUAGUAGGUGGGGUAACGGCGCACCUAGGCGACGAUCCCUAUCUGGUCUGAGGGGAUGACCAGCAACACUUGAACUGGGACACGGGCCAGACUCCUACGGGAGGCAGCAGGGGUGAAUAUUGCACAAUGGGCGCAAGCCUGAAGCAGCCAUGCCGCGUGUAUGAAGAAGGCCUGCGGGUUGUAAAGUACUUUCAGCGGGGAGGCGUUACCCGCAGAAGAAGCACCGGCUAACUCCGUGCCAGAGCCGCGGUAAUAC
rnacentral:rRNA from 1 species